CGACCGUUUGACAGCAAAGCCGAGUAUGAAAGGUAUUAUCUUUAUGGCAUCAUUUGAAGUCAAAUUAACAGAAUCUGACUGAUGAGAUUGUGGAACAUAGUACUCGCUGCCAAUAAUUAGGUUAAAGCGACAACAAACGCAUUGUAAAAUUUCAUUUUCGUUUUCCCAAGCAUCUAAUCGUUGGCAUUCAGUUUGAGAGAGUUCUAAAAAUGAUUGAUUAGAGCUCGAACAAUAACCUCUAAAGGAAUAUUGGCUAUGUAUUGCGGUAAGGAUUUGAGGUAAUAACUUUUGAGCAUCAGCUUUAAUAAAAUCG